ensembl:Y_RNA Y_RNA Y RNA
GGCUGGGGUCCAAAGGUAGUGAGUUAAGGCAAUUGAUUGUUCAUAGUCAGUUACAGAUUUAACUCCUUGUUCUACUCUUUCCCUUCUUCUCACUACUACACUUUCACUACUACACUUGACUAGUUUUAA